rnacentral:ncRNA from 1 species
GAGAGCCGUAGUGCCUCGAAAGGGGCAUGCUCGGUUCGGAGGAGGGGCUGGGCAGACGGGCCUGCUGAGAGGUAGGAAACCGCGGCCCGGCCCUAUCCUAC